CCUUCUGUGUUUUUAAAAAAUUGGAAGCUAUCCCAGUCAUUGGAACUAGCACUCAGGCCCCUCCCACGAUUGUGGAAUAGGUUUUAUUGCCUUUUCUGUUUCUCCAGUGCACACCUUAAAGUUCUUCUAUUUGUGUCUUAAUUACUUUAAGAUAAUUAGCAUGAGUGUUGACAUUCAGCUGUUUGUGCUAUGCAAGGAUGUCCUCACAGGCUGAAUUCUGCUGAUGCUGCAGCUUAACGAAACACCCACCACCCAGUGCCAGGGACUUGCUGCAGUUUGGCAGUUUCCUUGCUGAAAUCUUUGCCCCUUUUGGGUGGACCUUGAUUAGAGUUCUGCCAAGCACCACAGGAACGCACACCUUCGCUUUCGUUCAGAAAUAGCAAUGGUUAUUUCUAACAGCUUGUAAUGGUUAAUAGUUUAAUAGGAUAGUGCCUAAUUUUUUGCUAUAAUAUUCACUGGCUAUGUCCCUGUGUCAGAAUGAAAUUUAUAGCUCAUGGAAAAUUUUCCUUUGUUUUUGUAAGCCAAAAAAAAAAAAAAA
rnacentral:lncRNA from 1 species